rnacentral:tRNA from 1 species
AGCGGAAUGACUGAAGAUAAGGUGAUAAAUUGUAAAUUUAUAAAUGAUUAAAAAUCUUCCGUUA